AUUUCAUUAUCAGCUGCACUUCGAGACACAACUAAACGGCGCCAGUGACAAAACAAAUAAGAAACAGAAAAAAACACCUUCAGAAUAAAGGACUUAAUUCAAUUGUGUUGCAGUUUCGGUUUGUGACCGACACUAACGGGUAUUUGUCCACGUGAUCCUAAUGCUUGCUUUACUCGUUUCUGCGAUCACAAAUUCUGAAAUUGCAACGAAAAUCAGCAACAAAAAACAACAUUAUGAUGCAAAAACCAAGUGUAUUACAUGUAGUAAAGUGAUAUGGUCUGAUUUGGGGGCCGCCAAGUGCGGCGGGGGUCAACGUGAGUUCAGUGAUGUGGCAAACUAUGAAAACUGUGUGAGAUAUUUUUACAAGUAAAGAGAGAGAGAGAGAGAAAGAGAGCGAGAAGCGCUGGAAAAUAUUUAAUACAUAACCUGUUUAGCAUUAUGGCGAACGUUAUUAUUGGGAAAUAAAUGCCAAUGGCCAAAAAGUUUGGCACUAACUACCAUAAUUGAUGUCAGUUAGCAUGGAUUUCAUUUUAAUUGUUGCUACUUUAAGCGCUCGCUUUAAAUUGCAUGCGGCUUACGUGGCGUAUGAGUGAUGUCAGGAAGCGGCUUAAUUAGUGCUUGUGCAAAUGAGCCGAGCAACCACAUGUGAUAAGUUAAAGCCCCCCAGGCGACACUACAGGGCGUAUGCGUAAUUUAAUUGCGAGUUUAUAUACUUAAGUAAUUGCAUAAAUUAACACGAAUUAAAAGAGUUAAUACACACUGCUCGCGUGGGGCAUUUGAAAUUCGCUUUGAUGAGCUGUUUGAAGUUGCGUUUUUGCCUUAAAUUCACUUUAAAUGCUUUAGCAUACUUUUCAUCCUUAAACAAAAUUUGGUUUAUCUAAUAUAUAUUUCAUUUUAUAAACAACUUACUGGGCAAUAGUUAUCGGUAAAUUCAAGCCAAAAGAAUACACUUUUUGUUGCUGUUUUGUAUUCAGUUUAAUUAAACAAAGCUAAAACAAAAGUUUUUCACCAUUUCGUAUUUUGUUUUUUGCUUCACGCUGUUUUUGUUGCAUGUGCCAAGUUGCAUGUUGUGCACAACUUUUUCGCGUUGCUCUGAAUUUUAAUUGCAGUUCGGUAGUAAAAAACAAAACUUCCGUUUGUGACUUUUAAAGUUGAAAGUUAAAUUUCGAGAGUAGCAAUAAUUAUUAUAGGUUUCCUCACUUUUUGUGCGUGGAGUGGAUAAAUAUUUUUCCAUGAUGGCAGCAACAAAAUAUGCACAUCAAAGCAAAUGCCAAGCAUUUUGCUGAGAACAUACGAGAGAAGAGCUCGAAUAAUAGAAAGAAAUAUUUUGAAUAUGCGAGAAUAGUUUCAGCUGAGAAACGUAAAGGAAGAAAACUUGUUGGGAGGAGUUCUUUGCGUCAUGUCAAUUCAGAUUAAUUUAGGUUAAAUAUUUAGCUACAAUAAUUAAGCCUUAAAUCACAAAAGCUAACAGGUAACGCAGCUGGCAGUUGCCCCCAAACCGAAAGUCGAAAAUUGGCCAAAAGUUGAGCGUGAGAACUGCGUAGGAGCGCUGAAAUAAUGAGCUAACUGAGGCAAAUACUGUUAAUGUUUUGGCAGGCCGCGUGUGGGGCUCAUUAGGCUGAUGUCUUCGUCAGCUGCCGCAAAAUGGCGAUAAGGAUUACGUAAGGCAAACAAACUGAGUGAGUAAAGAGACGAGACGAGAGACGAAAGAGGAGACAAAAGUGUUUAAAAAUUAAAUUAGCAACAAGCGAUAGGCCAAUUUUGUUGCCACGUUUCUUGCCUCAGUUCUGUUUAAUUAACUGAAAAUUGCGCACAAGAGAGAAAGAGCAAACAAUUUGGCACAAACAAUGUAUGUGAGAGACAAAUCGUGCAGCGGGUGGUCAAAUUAUUCAACAAUUGACACAAAGUAUUGCAAAUCGCUUAAAAUUUCACUUUUGGCAAUUUGACAAAUGUCGUCUGUGAUCUCAAUCAAAUUUAAAUAAAUAUAUCAAUAGUGACACAGCUCGAACAGCAUUGCAAUUUACUAAAGCCUAUUAUUUGUCAUUUGUCUAGCAUUCAAUUUGAAUAACUUGAGCAUUCGUUGAGUCAGAUUUACGACUAUUCGAAUGCUUCCAAUGUUUAUGAUUUAUCUGUCAUUCUAGUUGCAGAAUUUAGUUGACUAAAACAAAGCUAUUAAAUUUUAAUUUUCACUGAUAUGUGUACAUAAUGCAAUGCUUUAAAAUAAAGCUUAUACCUUAGUAUCUCUGCUUUCAUAUUUAUCAUCCAUCAGCAGCUGAAUAAAGAAAGUCAUCCUUAAAGCCCUGGCAUAGACUUGGAUAGUUUGCUUAGGAAACUGCACUAAAUACAUAUUUCAAACACUUUAUUUGAGUCAUUUCCGGUGCUUUAGAGCGAGCAACUAACGAGAACAGUGGAAGAAAACACAAAAGUGGGUAAACAAGUUUCAGUUUUUAUAAAAAGAAGAAGCCAAGUGAAAUGAGACUGUGUUGAUGAUGGAGUCGCAGACAAGGGGCCGCAGCUGCCAAUCAAAUGCAAGCACACACUACACUUAGACACACACGCACAACACCCACAUAUUGCACUCGCACACACACACUUUAUGCUUUCACAUGACCUGAAAAGCGAUGCGCGUGGGAAACGCAACAAAAGGGCACUUCAGCAGUUGCAGACAGCUAGUGAAGAGAGGAGUCACAGACAGAUGGGAGAACGUGAGAGAGAGUAUGGAAGGGGGAAUAGGUGUAUAGUGUGGGCGUGGGCGUGGGCUUGUCUAACGGACCAGGCUGCCACUGGGGAGCCAUUGAGCGACAGUGGAGCUAAGCGUUUUAAUACAUUUUUAAUAAGGGCGCGUUACGCGUGAUCCACGUCAAAGCUCCACCUCAGGCCGUUGCAGCUCAACUAAAACCCAUAUCUCUUCCUCUUUUAUUGCAUAUAGUCAUCCAGGGAGAAUGCUAGGAACUAAAAGUUUAACGAGCAAAUGUUUUAAAAAUAAUGUUGAAAUUUUUAUCGCGAAAGUAAAGCUGCAGAAAAUGCAGUUCAGAAAUGCCAAAAGUUUAUUAAUUCUGAGCUGCGCAGAAAAGUAUGCUACAUUUAAGGGGGGCUUAUCAAAGUGCUUUUUCCAAGCAACUGAUCCCAAAGGAAGAAUAUCAACAACGAGAGAGCUUAUCAUAGCUGCAGCGUGGGAGCAGAUGUCUUAAGACUUUAGCUGCGUAAGUUGAAACCAAAGCAUAAAGCUGUCAUCAUGCAUUCACCAUUUAUCAACACAAGAAGUUUUCACCAAAUCAGGAACGAGCCGAAGUUAUGUUUCAGCUGAGAAAAAACCUAGAUUAAGUAACACAAAACUGGUUUAAUAAGAUGAAUUGUAUAAAAACUUUCUUUCUGUUCACCCAAUUAUAGUUUUAGCCAGCAAAAGCAAAAACAAAGCGCAAAUAAUACUUUCCUGAGCUUGAGCUGUUUAAUAGCAUUAGCUUAGCUCCUACAAUUUCAUCACAUUUUCUCUACAUUUUCUCUGGUUUAAUAUUUCCAUUCUAUGUUCAUGUUCUCCGUUUAAUACACAGAUUUAAUGUCACAUUGCUUAUGGCGAACUUAACGAUUUAAUGCUUUAAUCAAUUUGUGCCCAAGUAUUAUAUAUAUUACUCCUUCGCUUUCUGCGCUGCGUCUCGCUUUUGCCUUUGAAAAGCUCGUCACUUUCGCUGUCAAGUGGCAUGCAACUGCGUCACGGCCGCACAAAAUGGCCGACGAUGUGAAGAGAGUGUUCUUUGACUGCGGUUGACAGUUGGCGUUGGCGUUGGCGUUGCGCUGACGUUCACGUUGACGUUGACGUCGCUGAAGUCCUGUGGCCAUACUCUGUUCCAUCAUUGGCAGCAUCAUGACUGCAGCUCCAAGCAUUUGCUUCAGCUUUUGCUUUUGCUUUUGCUUUUGCUUUUCUCAGCCCCCUUUUACUUCGUGUGUGCGCAAUUUUUGUUGCCUACUUUUCAGCGUCACACUCGGUCAGCGUGUGCGUCAUUGCGUGCAGUUAUUUACAGCGUAUGUAUGUGUGUGUGUGUGUGUUGUAAUUGUGGUUGUCAUUAAAAUGCAAUUAAAAUGAAAUUCAUGUAGGCAGCGAUUGCAUGUUAAAAAGAGGGUAGUUCAAGUAGUUGCCAGUACUUCCAUCUGCGUCGCAACUUUCCCUCUUUUUUCCUUGUGUAUCUUCUCUGUUGUAAAAUUGCAUUGCAUAAAAGCCGCAAUUACUGCAUUUAGAUUUACGAGCAUAUUCCUUGUGGCUGAACUUUCAACUAAGUUCGCCUUAUAUCUGUCCUCAAAGUGAAUGUGGGUGUAAGUGAGAGAUGUAGAGAGAAAGACAGAAAUAGUUUGCUCGUGUUUACAGUGGCAACGCUUGACUUUUUGCUCUGCCUGCAAGUUUAUGUUGGUUCGCAACUUUUAUUCAUUCAAACUCAACUCGUUUCCAAGCUAAUUUAAUUUCAUUUUGACUUUUGCUUGCUUUUUGCUAAUUAAAAUUUAUCCUCUUAUCAAUUGCAUUGCAAUUGUGGUGUUUGCUCUGCUCUGUUGCAGCGCCAAACCAUUAAGUUGGCAGCACCAUUGCAAAGAGUUGCCACAUGUUCAACAAAGUUGAACAUACUUAUUCAACCACGUGUUAAUGUCAACAUUAAAUGGAUAACUGAUUGUUUACAGCAAAUGGGGCUAUUAGCACGCUUUAACAUUUAACAGUCAGCAUCUCUGACAGUCGGAAAUGCUCACACAUAUUCCGUGUGAAGCACUUUGAGGUGGGUCAAUGGAGUCUGAUUGCGAGUCCGAGUUCAUUAGCUUGACCAGUCGCCGCUGGAGAGCACAAGUUGACAUUGAUUGAUGUGGAUAUGGUUUAUCGCCUGGCCACAGGAUUUUUUGAAAUCAUUCCGCUUUCCCUUUUUGCGGUUUACUGACCUUAAAAGCCACAACAAGCUAAAAAGCUUUUUAAAUUGAACUACUAAUGGAACUAACUACUAAAGAACAAAGCACAAUAACUUUUGACAUGCUACUUGAAAAAGAAAUGCACACGCGCUCGCUUGUAAAUGAUAGACAAAGAAAUGUUUGUUUAACACAAUGAAAGUUCAUUAAGCGAAAACUGUUCUAUAUUCGCCAUGUGUUGUAAUUAAGAUAAAUUGUUGAGAAAUUCAAUUAUUUAUUUAACCUAAAAAUAGCUUUUGAAACACACACUUUUCAGAGUAAAAAGCAGCCAUAAAAACCUUACAAUUGUUCCUAAAAAAAAUCAACUUUUAUGAAAAAAAUAAAAUGAAACAAAAUAUUUUGUUAAGAUACAUGGUUUUUUAUUUUAGGGGAUUAGGUAAAGUUCAUGGGCAAAUACCGUGUGCACAGCAACAACAAAAAGCCAGCGACAAUUGAUUGACAAGUUGGCCGAGUGGCUGAAGGCGGCAAGGGAGGAGAAGAGGAAGGGGAAGGUGCGUGGCCAACAGCACGCGUCAAGCGAGCAAUCGCUGUCGUUGAGCUUUUGCUUUUGCUUUGCUUUUCUUUGCUUUGCUUCUGCUUAUAAAUAAGUUAAUUAAAAUUUGCGCGCGACAACACAGAAGCCGCAGCGCAGCGAUGGCAACGUUGAUCACAGAUGAUGACAACAAGAACAACAACAUAAACAUCAACAAGAGCAACGCCACCGACAACUACAAAAAGAAACACCUUGAAAAUUUUAAAUGUAAUUAAAUAAAAACGUUGCGAUGCGAUGGGAAGAUGGGGAAGCAGCAGCGGGAAGCGUUCUUGUUGUGGUUUAGCCAAAGCCAUUUAGUGUGUACUAAAUACAAAGUAUAUAUCAAGAGUUGCGGUAAGAGCACAACGACCACUUGACUUGACAGCGCAGCAGUAGCGGCCACGCCUCUCUCCUCCACCCUCUAUCCUACGCCUCAAGAUUACGAACAUUCUCUGUGAACUUGGCAAAAACUGACGAAGAUGAAUAUUCAGUUGGUUACGCCCAAGAAAUUCGUUUUUACAGUUGGCACAGCGUAGACUUUAGGGAAUUCAGCAGAGAUAAAUAAUGUAAAAUACACAACAAAAAGUAGAGAUGUGUAAUAUAGUAAAAACGAUUUUUGCGAGGGUUGCUUUUAGCCUUUUUCUCCAAUUGCCAUUCGGAAAAAACAGCACCAUUCAUUAUACAAAACAUAAUUCGU